rnacentral:lncRNA from 1 species
AGGUGCAUCCCUCCCUUUGGGAAAUAACCCUGGGCAGAACCCUCAGAACCUCUGCCACGCAAACAGAGCUGGACCCGACCCCACCUGCACCUGCUGCAGUGGGUGGAUGUCCCUGCAGCCCCGUUCUUCCUUUGUGUUCUCUAUGGGUGGGCUUUGUGCCGCGGGGGGUUCACACAGUGAGAGUGAGUUAUUGAAGGCUGAGACCUCAUUUCUUCUCUUCGAUCCGUACAGCCCACGAGUGAUGGGUUCAUAACUCGUUGCUGUUGGAAAAGCUUUUGUCUAAUGGUCAUUGGGCCUGGGAUGCCUGAUAAAGUGGUGUGGAAAGCCAGGAUUUAGGGUCAUUGGGGACCUUCUGGUGUUUGGGGUCACGAUCUUUUCCCCAGCCUUUGAGUAGUGCUGAGAGCUGUGCUUUUUCUUACAAGUAUCAUGCAAAGCCUUGCCGUUCUCACCCCAGGUCCUUCCAGUACCGGAGGGAGCCUAUAAACAGGAGGGGAGCCAACUCUUUGGAGGGUACAUAAUGGCAGGAGAAGGGGAAACGGUUUUAAGUUGAAGGAGGGAAGAUUUAGGUUGGAUAUCGGGGAGAAGUUCUUUACUAUGAGGGCGGUGAGGUGAUGGAACAGCUGCCCAAAGAGGUUGCAGAUGCUCCAUCUUUAGAGGUGUUCAAGGCCAGGUUGGAUGGGGCCCUGGGCAGCCUGGGCUGCUAUUAGAUAUGGAGGUUGGUGGCCCUGCAUGCAGCAGUGGGGUUGGAGCUUCACGAUCCUUGAGGUGCCUUCCAACCCAAGCCGUUCUGUGGUUCUAUUUCUCACGUAGUGGCAGUGCAGCAGGGCUAUGGGCUCAGCCUCGACGUGGGGGGACCCAACACCUCCCCUGCUGCCUGCCCACACCUCGCUGCCCUCGUUUUGCUCUGAGCUUUCCAUGUGCGUGAGCGGGCAGCUCGUUUUAACACGUUGCCUCGUGUUUCCCCACCUGCAAAAUGCCACAUCCGUGGGGCGAGCGUGGGUGCAAAGCCACGUGCUGAGCGUGGGGCCGCGCCGAUGUGUGCGUGGGGAGAGAGGGCUGAGCAAAGCUGCGAUGCUCAGCUCCAUCCGUGACCCCAUCCCGGGGGCUGCCCUAUGUGCCAAGGGACAGCACGUCGGCUGGGAGCUGUGGGUCUGCCCGUGCUGAGCAGCUCGGGGCAGGGCUGCUUCCUUGCCGUGUUCAUUCACGCUGCCCGGCUCGGAGGUGCCGCCGUGCGUCAUGCGGCAGCUUGUGCUGGGGAUUUGGCUGGGUUAUCCCUGUAAUUCGCCGGCUGUGGGAAUGCUGGAGCCGGGGGGAGGGCUGGGAGUGAGCGUGCUGCAGGUGGGGGCCCUGUGGGUGCAGUGUGUGUGCCAGCAGGGAGCUGGG